rnacentral:rRNA from 1 species
AUUGAACGCUGGCGGAAUGCUUUACACAUGCAAGUCGAACGGCAGCACGGACUUCGGUCUGGUGGCGAGUGGCGAACGGGUGAGUAAUGUAUCGGAACGUGCCCAGUCGUGGGGGAUAACGUAGCGAAAAUUACGCUAAUACCGCAUACGAUCUAUGGAUGAAAGCGGGGGAUCGCAAGACCUCGCGCGAUUGGAGCGGCCGAUAUCGGAUUAGGUAGUUGGUGGGGUAAAGGCUCACCAAGCCAACGAUCUGUAGCUGGUCUGAGAGGACGACAAGCCAAACUGGAACUUGGACACGGUCCAGACUCCUACGGGAGGCAGCAGUGGGGAAUUUUGGACAAUGGGCGAAAGCCUGAUCCAGCCAUUCCGCGUGCAGGAUGAAGGCCCUCGGGUUGUAAACUGCUUUUGUACAGAACGAAGAGGUUUCUACUAAUACUAGGAGCUCAUGACGGUACUGUAAGAAUAAGUACCGGCUAACUACGUGCCAGCCGCCGCCGUAA